UUUUUUUAUUGAAGGCUGGAAUGAAAGAUAGAAACUGAGAGGGGGGUUUUAUAAAAUUAUUUUUGAAGUUUAAUUAUAAAUAAAAAUGUUUAUAUCAAUCUUUGGGACGAGAAGACCCUAGAAGCUUAAAAGUUUAAAUUUUUUUAUUGGGGUAAUAGUUGAAGAAAAAAUUUUUAAUUAAUUAUGAAACAUUAAGUAGUUACUCUAGGGAUAACAGCGUAAUUUAAUUAGAGAGUUCUUAUUAAUAAUUAAGUUUGUGACCUCGAUGUUGAAUUAAAA
rnacentral:rRNA from 1 species